AUGCUGGAGGUAUCAGAAGUGCGAAUGCUGACAUAAGUAACGAUAAAGCGGGUGAAAAGCCCGCUCGCCGGAAGACCAAGGGUUCCUGUCCAACGUUAAUCGGGGCAGGGUGAGUCGACCCCUAAGGCGAGGCCGAAAGGCGUAGUCGAUGGGAAACAGGUUAAUAUUCCUGUACUUGGUGUUACUGCGAAGGGGGGACGGAGAAGGCUAUGUUGGCCGGGCGACGGUUGUCCCGGUUUAAGCGUGUAGGCUGGUUUUCCAGGCAAAUCCGGAAAAUCAAGGCUGAGGCGUGAUGACGAGGCACUACGGUGCUGAAGCAACAAAUGCCCUGCUUCCAGGAAAAGCCUCUAAGCAUCAGGUAACAUCAAAUCGUACCCCAAACCGACACAGGUGGUCAGGUAGAGAAUACCAAGGCGCUUGAGAGAACUCGGGUGAAGGAACUAGGCAAAAUGGUGCCGUAACUUCGGGAGAAGGCACGCUGAUAUGUAGGUGAAGUCCCUCGCGGAUGGAGCUGAAAUCAGUCGAAGAUACCAGCUGGCUGCAACUGUUUAUUAAAAACACAGCACUGUGCAAACACGAAAGUGGACGUAUACGGUGUGACGCCUGCCCGGUGCCGGAAGGUUAAUUGAUGGGGUCAGCGCAAGCGAAGCUCUUGAUCGAAGCCCCGGUAAACGGCGGCCGUAACUAUAACGGUCCUAAGGUAGCGAAAUUCCUUGUCGGGUAAGUUCCGACCUGCACGAAUGGCGUAAUGAUGGCCAGGCUGUCUCCACCCGAGACUCAGUGAAAUUGAACUCGCUGUGAAGAUGCAGUGUACCCGCGGCAAGACGGAAAGACCCCGUGAACCUUUACUAUAGCUUGACACUGAACAUUGAGCCUUGAUGUGUAGGAUAGGUGGGAGGCUUUGAAGUGUGGACGCCAGUCUGCAUGGAGCCGACCUUGAAAUACCACCCUUUAAUGUUUGAUGUUCUAACGUGGACCCGUAAUCCGGGUUGCGGACAGUGUCUGGUGGGUAGUUUGACUGGGGCGGUCUCCUCCUAAAGAGUAACGGAGGAGCACGAAGGUUGGCUAAUCCUGGUCGGACAUCAGGAGGUUAGUGCAAUGGCAUAAGCCAGCUUGACUGCGAGCGUGACGGCGCGAGCAGGUGCGAAAGCAGGUCAUAGUGAUCCGGUGGUUCUGAAUGGAAGGGCCAUCGCUCAACGGAUAAAAGGUACUCCGGGGAUAACAGGCUGAUACCGCCCAAGAGUUCAUAUCGACGGCGGUGUUUGGCACCUCGAUGUCGGCUCAUCACAUCCUGGGGCUGAAGUAGGUCCCAAGGGUAUGGCUGUUCGCCAUUUAAAGUGGUACGCGAGCUGGGUUUAGAACGUCGUGAGACAGUUCGGUCCCUAUCUGCCGUGGGCGCUGGAGAAUUGAGGGGGGCUGCUCCUAGUACGAGAGGACCGGAGUGGACGCAUCACUGGUGUUCGGGUUGUCAUGCCAAUGGCACUGCCCGGUAGCUAAAUGCGGAAGAGAUAAGUGCUGAAAGCAUCUAAGCACGAAACUUGCCCCGAGAUGAGUUCUCCCUGAC
rnacentral:rRNA from 1 species